UACGUAGGGGCAAGCGUUGUCCGGAAUCAUUGGGCGUAAAGAGCGCGUAGGCGGUCCGGUAAGUCUGCCGUGAAAGCCAGGGGCUCAACCCUUGGAUGCCGGUGGAUACUGUCGGGCUAGAGUCCGGAAGGGGAGAGUGGAAUUCCCGGUGUAGCGGUGAAAUGCGCAGAUAUCGGGAAGAACACCCAUGGCGAAGGCAGCUCUCUGGGACGGUACUGACGCUGAGACGCGAAAGCGUGGGGA
rnacentral:rRNA from 1 species